AAUACGUUCCCGGACCUUGCACACACCGCCCGUCAAGCCAUGGAAGCUGGGUGUACCUAAAGUCGAUAACCGCAAGGAGUUGCCUAGGGUAAAACUAGUAACUGGGGCU
rnacentral:rRNA from 1 species